rnacentral:rRNA from 1 species
AUUGAACGCUGGCGGCAGGCCUAACACAUGCAAGUCGAACGAGUGGCGGACGGGUGUGUAAUGUAUGGGAAACUGCCUGAUGGAGGGGGAACACUACUGGAACCGGUAGCUAAUACCGCAUACCAUCAGAUGUGCCCAGAGGGGAUGAGAUGGUUGGGGGGGUAAAGGCGCACCAAGGCGACGAUCCCUAGCUGGUCUGAGAGGAUGCACAGCCACACGGGAACUGAGACACGGUCCAGACUCCUACGGGAGGCAGCAGUGGGGAAUAUUGCACAAUGGGCGCAAGCCUGAUGCAGCCAUGCCGCGUGUAUGAAGAAGGCCUUCGGGUUGUAAAGUACUGUCAGCGGGGAGGCGUUACCCGCAGAAGAAGCACCGGCUAACUCCGUGCCAGCAGCCGCGGUAAUUC